UUCGGGGUAGAGAGUACAGCGUUAAGUGCCAAAAGGACGGAAUGUGUCUUUUGGACGAAGGCUAGCGAUAGCUGCGGUUGUAUUCUCGCAUUCGCCGCA
rnacentral:ncRNA from 2 species